AGGUGGCAGGAAUACUCUGCGUUGGCCAGAGGCUCCCAGGUACCCAGGUUCAUCGCCUUUUAAAGUUCCACUGAACAAGCUGUUUGGAAGCCGCCUGCAGCGCCAUGAAGUCUUCACGCCGACUGACCUGUUGAAACAAAUUGGGGAACAGAAUGAGGAGUUGGGCAAAUUAUUGACCUCACGUUUACAAGGCGUUACUACGAUUCCACGGAGCUGCCAGAGGGUUUGCACUAUGAAAGGUUUUCACUGCUGGCCAUGAAGUACCAAGUGCAGAAAACAUUUUAAGUUUCAAACGAGCUGUUGAAAACAUUCCUAUUGGAGAAUAUGGACAAUGAUAAACUGAUUGGAGUUCAUUGUACUCAUGGCGUUAACAGAACUGGCUAUCUCAUUUGCAGGUAUCUGAUUGAUGUGGAUGGCAUGGAUCCUCAUGAAGCAAUUGACUUGUUCAAUAAAUCUCGUGGAUAUCCAAUUGAAAGGCAGAAUUACAUUCAAGAUUUAUUACAGGGGGCCUCAUCGAAGCAAUAAAGGAAUUGAUGUACUGGCUCCUUGCUUAGGCACACAGCAGAUGAGACAAUUCAGUCACCAGCCUAUGUUCGCGCCACGAGAUCGAGCCAAUCAAGUGAAAUAUCCUGCAAGGAAUGACUAUCGUGAAUUCAGUCACCUUGUCUGCCCACCCAGACAAUCUGCUAAUUCCUACCUGCCUACACAACGUUACUGGGGAAGUAGUGCCGUUCAUCAGCCAGUGCUAAACAAUGGACAAGGUGGUGCACCUUCUGACCGUACUGGCAGAUGGCAGCAGUCGGCCUGGAGGAAUUGCCAGCCCAAACCUUCAUGGCAGCAUUACCAGGUGGAACCUCGCAGGAUGAAAGGUCAGGCACUGCAUCCCUGGGCUGGUUACCAGCAACAUGAUACAAGGAGUACCAGGGGAAAGAACUUGAUCCCUCAAGGUCAGGUUAGAUUAAACACACAUCUGCGAUGGGACAAUUGAAAUGUGUAUGGGAAAUAUUUUAGUCACAUUGAUUAGGAGUAACUGCAACAAAUAAUGUGCAAGAUAAAACUGUGCAGUUGAGGAGUGAGCUGACAGCAGAUUCUGUGUCAGGGUAUUACUGGAUCGUUGAGUGUAUUGAUAUGUAGGAACUGUAGGGAAAUCUCGCUUCAUCCACCUUAGUAUUGUGUUCAACAAUCUUUAAUUCGUUUUCUGACAUCACUGCCUCUCGAACUUCCUGUCCCCGUCAGCUUUAUUCAUUUCGCAGGAUCAGCCACAACAACUUUCCUCAACUCAUAACCUCUCCAUCUAUAAUCCAUUAGAAGGACUUGGCCUUGAAUAGUAUGCUGGGUAUUCAGUCUAAGGGGAGACGAUGCAGAUUUCAUGCAGCCAGCAGGAUACCAACACACUGCACAGAUACUGUACAACUGUUCAAGAAGGGAUCAUGCUGCAGUCCACACUGUUAACACAGCUUCCUGUACAAGUUGAAACACACCGUCUGGUUAUAAUGCUUCAAAUCAGGCGCAGCAGAACAUGUCUUGAAAACUCUCUGGAGCAUUUAUCGAGUUCUCCCUCAGUCCUCGGUGUCUGAUUAACCCAUUGAUCACUCUCAGCCAUUAGAAGGAAUUAACUGAAGGGUCAGGAACUAAACUGGAGAAGGUGAUGGGGAGGGAGGCUGCAAUAGCGUUGGGUUUCUCCAUGACCCUAAUUGUCCUGGUCUGUGAGUCACUGGUUGAGCGUGAGGAUAUUCACUGCUACCCCCUUGUGACAGAAGGCAAUUGCACUUGUCCAGCAGAUGGUUUCAGUACAGGGUCAAUUUUUAAUCUAUCUAAAGGCUCCAAAUAAGAUGCUCAAAUUUCAAUCAGUCAGAAAACAUUGUUGAAACUUUUUUAAAAAAGUUAUUUCAUUCCAUGGGUUUGCAUUUGGAGGUCUGACUUGAGUGCUCUGACGCCUCAACUCUGCUCCUUACUUUUCUGUUCAUCUUGGCCUGUUUUAAAUAGGAAGAGGAAAACUCAUCAGGGUCCUUUCCUGAUCAGUGUACCUUUCUGGUGAGUAUGUGGCCAUUUGAGAGCAGAGAUUAAACUCAGUUGCCAAUUAAAGUGCCACAAGCUGCUGAUCCACAUUGUCGUCAUCUCGUGGAGGAUGGGCAACGGGGAUCUGGUGGGUGGCUGCAGCUUGUAAAUUGAGACCUCUGAGGUUCAGCUCAGUCAGAGGAGCCUCUAUGUUCUAGGUUGUACAUCUUGCUGGUGUUUGCAGUGAUACUUUGUGCCUCAUCUUUUUACCUGAUUCUCCCUAAAUCCAUAGCAUCAGUGUUUGAGGAAGACAUGAUUCAUGAAUUUCUAUGCUUUUCGGUUUCAAAUGUAAUCUGGAAUCAAAAUAAAUAACUUUUGGUCAUUUGU